GACCUGGUGGUGGAUAGAUCACACCCACUUUCCUUACCAUUGUACCGUCGCAAAAUAAAGUGGGAGUCCCCGGUUCGAUUCCGGGUCAGGUCA